CUCUGGCUCGACGGACUGAAUGCCCUCCAAGGCCGGGACAUGACCAGUGAACGUAAAAGAAGUGAUUUGGAUAUAUUGCUAAAUGCAGAACUCAAGCUGAGGCUAUUGGAUUUGGAAAAUGUCCCCAUUCCUGAACACCCACCAGCGAUCCCGGCACGGCCACUUAACUAUGACUAUUGCUACCAAUUUGCUUCCACCGAGGCUUAACACUCACACACUACUUGAUAUACACUCUGCCACUAUCCCAGAACCACGGCUCUGCCAUGGGCAUAAUCCUAAAGCCACUGCCCUGCCAUGAGCCACCAUCCCAAAACCAUGGCCCUGCCAUGGGCCACCAUCCCAGAACCAUGGCCCUGCCAUGGGCCACCAUCCCAGAACCAUGGCCCUGCCAUGGGCCACCAUCCCAGAACCAUGGCCCUGCCAUGGGCCACCAUCCCAGAACCAUGGCCCUGCCAUGGACCACCAUCCCAGAACCAUGGCCCUGCCAUGGACCACCAUCCCAGAACUAUGGCUCUGCCAUAGGCCACCAUUACUAACCCACGACUCUGCCAUUGACCCCCACAGAUUCACAGCCAUGUCAUCUGCCACUACAGACACACCACCUUAUCAUUGACUAGAGAUCUUCAGCCUACACCACAGAUCCACAGCUCUGCCAAUUGUCAGCGUGGCAGAUCCAUAGCACUUACAUUUGCCACCAACACAGAUGUUCAGCCUUUUUUACCUACCACAACAUCACCAUGGUCCUGGCUUUGGCCCACAACACAGAUACCUGGCUCCACCAUCUAACACCACAGCAUCUUGUAUAACUUAACUGUAUGUAUACGUAUGUUUAAGAAAUGUACAAAGCAUUAUGUGCAUCAUUUGCAAAUGAAAUAAAUAUAUAAAAAAGUGGAGCAGAACGCACCCUGAGUAGUGGUAUUAGUGGGAUCAUCCAUCUAUGAAAAGUUAUUGCUAAUGAGAGUAUUUGAUUAAUGUAUACAUUCUGUAUGGUAUUGGUGUGAAUUUAAACCUCUAAAGGAUAGAAAGAUAGAAUAAGUGGAAUCUUCUAAUCUGGAU